ACCUUUUGGUCAAUAAAAUAGGUAUAAUUUCAAAGCAUUUAAUUGUAGCGGUGGUCUGAAGGGACUUUGAAGAAAAUCAAUAAUUUAAAAGAGAUAAGUAAAAGAAGACCUCAAUAUUUGAAUGGAGUAGCCGUUGAAUUCAUUGCAGCGUUUAAAGUGAACAGAUUACGUUCUGUUAUUUUGGGACGCUUAAAUUUUAACAAUAGGUGGCGCUAGAAAACCUAGUUAUUACCGGUUAAGCUCAGCGGGAGAUUAGUCUACUCUGGUGGGGUAUUGAUCAGGGAAGAUUAGCGGGUUGAUCUAAAUAUGGAGGAUGAUUUUAGAUCGGGGGCAUUUCCGCUGCAGCUGGCUUUAAAAGCUCGGAGGCGUGCAGUUUCGCUCUCUUUUUUGUGUGCGCAGCCGUAAGGGACAGUCGCGUCUACGUUGAUUUAAAAUCGGUUAUAAGUUUAUCUAAUCCAAUUUCUCUCAGUGUGUACAAACGCUUGUAUGCAAGCUUAAAGCUUUUAUAUACAAGCCUCAAUCUCCAGAAUUUUUUUUUUACGAUGAGGAUCUCUACACUUUUGUGCAGUCAACACUAAAUUUUAAUGCAUAACUUUGGGGAUGGCCACUUUUAUGCCACUUUACAGCUUUCAGCCCUCGGAAGAUCGAUCUUUCUACGCUGGAUCCGGAGUGAACAAUGUGAGUCGUUUAGUACAUGGUUUUAUUAUAUCAUAAAUUCCCCUUAUUGAAAAUUUGCCUAUUGAGAAAUUUUAUAAGAAACUGCCCAACAUUGUAGCGCGCCUAGUCGUCUAUGCAUUUAUCAAAAUUUAAAUAACGUAAACUUAUAACAAAGCUUUAAGCUUGACUAAAAGUACACCAUUUAUCUCUCAAAUUUGGCCUAAUAGAAUACCUAAACCUCUUCAAGGUGUAUAUUUACAUAUCGAAGCCAUGCAUGUGUACUUUAUGAACACUUUUAAAAAUUUACUUUUGAAUCCUUUUGAACAUUAGACAAAUUUAAAUCGAAAACCUUAUGAAGAAUUUUGUUUCUACUUUUUAUAUUCAAUUUGUAGCAUUAAAGUUAUCUAAGUACUUGAAUUCAUUUAUCUUUAUAUUAGCACCUAAGUCUAUUUGAAAAUUAAACCCCGUCAAUAUUGAUCAUGAAAACUAACUAAAUCUAUAACAUCUGAACUCAGCUAAUGACCUAGCGGUCGCAGGAUAAAGGGGUCAUCAGAGCCAUUCUCAAGGAUGAUGAUCUUAGGUUGGGAGGGCAAAUUGGAGACCACAUCUACACCAGUGGUUCCGUCUAGUUUACAUCUUCGCACUCUCGUUCUUUUCUAUCCCCUUCUGUAAGAUUUGAUCUUCUAUCCUUUACCGGUUCUAUCUUGCAAUUCUUAUGUCGCUAGCACGCUCAAUUUCUUGACUUUAGGUUAUUAAUUUGUAACACGUACGAUCCGUCCGAAACAAGACCUCCACCCCCAAGCCGACGAGCGAGAGCCGGAUUCUAUAGCGUGCCCCUGUGAAGACGGGUCCCCUUCAUCACCCAGACCGUUACACGUUACAGUUCUAAUAAUUAAUAAUCCUAAAGAAAAGUGGCGCUCAACGUGAAGGGCCUCUGUGAGUAAAACAAACACUCAUAGGGACUUACGAAUAGAACUUCAAAUUUUAUUAUUCUAAUCCUUUUAUCCAAAGGUCUGGCUAAAAGCAGAAGAUAGCGAGGAUAACAGUUAAAAUUACAUUAGUGUCUUUUCUGGCCAAAGCUAAAUUCUGGAUUUAUCCACAUCAUUUCCUACGAAACCAUCGGAGAAGUUUAGUUAGUGCGCGAACACAGAACAAAUACAACUGCUGGUAGUUGUCUGUCCGACUAAAAUUAACACCCAUGGAAAUCGUUUCUAUUCCUCUCGUAAUAAGGGUAUCGCUAGUCAAAAUUUAAUGGGAAUUUAGUGCACAAGCUUGCGAGCAGUGUAUUAACCUAAAAUUUAAUAGCGAAAACCCGAACUUUUAACUCUAUUUACUUUCCGAGAUAAAAUAAACAUUCCGUAGAUUCUGAUCUGGAAACAAAUGCUACAUUUUGUAGAAAGGGCAUUGACCAGGAUCAGUUAAAGGUGUUAUCAUCUCCCUCUAGGAAUUUCGAGUAAAGAGUAGUCCUCUAAAUAGGAAUUCGAACCCCUUGUAACUUU